CUGAGGCGGCUGGGGCAGGGCCGGGAGGGCAAGGAGAUGUACCCGGUGCGGCGGCCGGCGCAGGAGCCGGCCCCGAGCUCAUGCGACGGCGCUGCGGGACAGCGGCUGCCCUCCGUUGCCUGCCUAUAGUCAUCUACAAUGGAUCCUACCACGGGGAGUUUUCGUAGUUCUGGUCAAGACCAUCGAUGGCGGCUUUGGGACACCAGCAUCCAAGGAGGACCUACUCAAAUCCCUUUAUGCAGUUGGAUGCGGCCUUGAUGAAGCCUAUUCAGGUUCAUUAUCACAGGCUUGAGAUGGCUGAAAGGGAAAACUGCGCUGGAAUACAACCAGCUUAUGAUGAUGAAGGU